AUGCCGCUGCUCUUUGACAACAGGGACUGUCUGGAGGGUAGGGGAGGGGCGUAGUGUCCACUGCUCUUUGACAACAGGGACUGUCUGGAGGGUAGGGGAGGGGCGUAGUGUCCACUGCUCUUUGACAACAGGGACUGUCUGGAGGGUAGGGGAGGGGCGUAGUGUCCACUGCUCUUUGACAACAGGGACUGUCUGGAGGGUAGGGGAGGGGCGUAGUGUCCAUUGCUCUUUGACAACAGGGACUGUCUGGAGGGUAGGGGAGGGGCGUAGUGUCCACUCUCCCUCCAGUCUAUCUGCAGCAGAGAGCAGGAUUAGGUGCAAAGGAAUCCGACACUGGGGUGAGGCCGGGCCGUCUGGGGAAUAACCAAUAGAUGACUUCUUGUUCCACUAAUUCCUUACACAGUAAAACAAGCUCUCUUGGAAUGGAGCCAUUCCAAUAUGUCUAUAUUAAGUCUGCUGCUGUUNNNNNNNNNNCUGGUGAGGGUUGUAAACAAGCAGAUAGACUGAGGGGAGUGCAGCAGAUGGUGUAAAUAUGUGUCUCUUUUGUUUAAUUGUAGAUAUAGUGGUGUUUCAUCAGGACAGAUCACAGGGACAGAGUCUGGAGAAGGCUGCCUUGGCUGGAGACACAGAUCUUUACAUCUAGGGGCCUCUCUAUCUGUUUGAAAUGGAGUCAUACACUUUCAGUACCUCCCCAAGUGUGGUGGAAGAGAUAUAACACCCUCGUCACUGAACUGCUCAUCAAGGGGAAUUUCCAGGUAGCACAUUAGUCUUUUACCACAGCAUGAAAGAGUGGAGUGUGGACCUGUCAAAGUAUGAUGUGUUGUGGUGCUGUGUGAGUGAGCCCAGGAGUAAAGACUCUUUAUUAAGGGGACUUGGUCCCAGGGCAUAGGGUGCUCUAUUCUAGAGGGUAUGCUAGUGAGGGUACUGUGCUAGAGAGCAGAGUGAGAUCCUCUUUGGUGGAGUGAUGGGGAGUCAUUUCUCACAAACACACUGGACAGUGACAGCAGCACCACAGCUCUCUGGCCUCUCCAGCAGAAGCAGACAUUGACAGUGGGGCCUUUCUCUUGGGAAGUGCACUUGAAAGGGGGAUUUUCAUGGCCCAGGACUAAAUCCUGCUUUUGUGCUUAAUGCCGUGUAAAUCCAAGGGGUUUGCUUUGCUGCUUUGCCUCCACAC
rnacentral:lncRNA from 13 species